rnacentral:rRNA from 1 species
GAGGAAAGAACUACCAAGGAUUCCCCUAGUAACUGCGAGUGAAGCGGGAAAAGCUCAAAUUUAAAAUCUGGCGGUCUCUGGCCGUCCGAGUUGUAAUCUAGAGAAGUGCUGCCCGCGCUGGACCGUGUACAAGUCUCCUGGAAUGGAGCGUCAUAGAGGGUGAGAAUCCCGUCUUUGACACGGACUACCAGGGCUUUGUGGUACGCUCUCAAAGAGUCGAGUUGUUUGGGAAUGCAGCUCAAAAUGGGUGGUAAAUUCCAUCUAAAGCUAAAUAUUGGCGAGAGACCGAUAGCGAACAAGUACCGUGAGGGAAAGAUGAAAAGAACUUUGGAAAGAGAGUUAAACAGUACGUGAAAUUGCUGAAAGGGAAACGCUUGAAGUCAGUCGCGUUGGCCGGGGAUCAGCCUCGCUCUUUUGCGUGGUGUACUUUCCGGUCGACGGGUCAGCAUCAGUUUUGAUCGCUGGAAAAAGGCCUGAGGAAUGUGGCAGCUCCGGCUGUGUUAUAGCUUCUGGUCACAUACAGCGGUUGGGAUUGAGGAACUCAGCACGCCGCAAGGCCGGGUUUCGACCACGUUCGUGCUUAGGAUGCUGGCAUAAUGGCUUUAAGCGACCCGUCUUGAAACACGGACCAAGGAGUCUAACAUGCCUGCGAGUGUUUGGGUGGAAAACCCGAGCGCGUAAUGAAAGUGAAAGUUGAGAUCCCUGUCGCGGGGAGCAUCGACGCCCGGACCAGAACUUUUGGGACGGAUCCGCGGUAGAGCAUGUAUGUUGGGACCCGAAAGAUGGUGAACUAUGCCUGAAUAGGGUGAAGCCAGAGGAAACUCUGGUGGAGGCUCGUAGCGAUUCUGACGUGCAAAUCGAUCGUCAAAUUUGGGUAUAGGGGCGAAAGACUAUCGAACCUCUA